rnacentral:rRNA from 1 species
CCUACGGGUGGCAGCAGUGAGGAAUAUUGGUCAAUGGACGAGAGUCUGAACCAGCCAAGUAGCGUGAAGGAUGACUGCCCUAUGGGUUGUAAACUUCUUUUAUAUGGGAAUAAAAUGUUCCACGUGUGGGAUUUUGUAUGGACCAUAUGAAUAAGGAUCGGCUAACUCCGUGCCAGCAGCCGCGGGAAUACGGAGGCUCGGAGGGGUAUCCGGAUUUAUUGGGGUUAAAGGGAGCGUAGGCGGAUUGGUAAGUCAGUUGUGAAAGUCUGCGGCUCAACCGUAAAAUUGCAGUUGAAACUGGCAGUCUUGAGUACAGUAGAGGUGGGCGGAAUGCGUGGUGUAGCGGUGAAAUGCUUAGAUAUCACGAAGAACUCCGAUUGCGAAGGCAGUUCACUGGACUGCAACUGACACUGAGGCUCGAAAGUGUGGGUAUCAAACAGGAUUAGAUACCCCAGUAGUC